AGUGAACGCUGGCGGUAGGCCUAACACAUGCAAGUCGAACGGCAGCACAGUAAGAGCUUGCUCUUACGGGUGGCGAGUGGCGGACGGGUGAGGAAUACAUCGGAAUCUACUUUUUCGUGGGGGAUAACGUAGGGAAACUUACGCUAAUACCGCAUACGACCUACGGGUGAAAGCAGGGGAUCUUCGGACCUUGCGCGAUUGUAUGAGCCGAUGUCGGAUUAGCUAGUUGGCGGGGUAAAGGCCCACCAAGGCGACGAUCCGUAGCUGGUCUGAGAGGAUGAUCAGCCACACUGGGACUGAGACACGGUCCAGACUCCUACGGGAGGCAGCAGUGGGGAAUAUUGGACAAUGGGCGCAAGCCUGAUCCAGCCAUACCGCGUGGGUGAAGAAGGCCUUCGGGUUGUAAAGCCCUUUUGUUGGGAAAGAAAAGCAGCAGGUUAAUACCCCGCUGUUCUGACGGUACCCAAAGAAUAAGCACCGGCUAACUUCGUG
rnacentral:rRNA from 1 species